GCAGAGCAUCCUACGGGAGGCAGCAGUGGGGAAUAUUGCACAAUGGGCGCAAGCCUGAUGCAGCCAUGCCGCGUGUAUGAAGAAGGCCUUCGGGUUGUAAAGUACUUUCAGCAGUGAGGAAGGUGGGUAUGUUAAUAGCAUAUUCAUUUGACGUUAGCUGCAGAAGAAGCACCGGCUAACUCCGUGCCAGCAGCCGCGGUAAUACGGAGGGUGCGAGCGUUAAUCGGAAUUACUGGGCGUAAAGCGCAUGCAGGUGGUUUGUUAAGUCAGAUGUGAAAGCCCGGGGCUCAACCUCGGAAUUGCAUUUGAAACUGGCAAACUAGAGUACUGUAGAGGGGGUAGAAUUUCAGGUGUAGCGGUGAAAUGCGUAGAGAUCUGAAGGAAUACCGGUGGCGAAGGCGGCCCCCUGGACAGAUACUGACACUCAGAUGCGAAAGCGUGGGGAGCAAACAGGAUUAGAUACCCUCGUAG
rnacentral:rRNA from 1 species